AUAGGCCACAAACUCUGACCGUCUGCGUCAACGACAAUGACAAGAAAGUGAGCAGUGAUUGUACUGGACAAGGCAGCUUCGUUGGCAACUGGCAAGUCGAAAAGAAGGUCUGACUCUCCCCUGCUAGUUACUAAGUACUCGUCCACGACAACUGGGCGUCAUCAAUCAGACUUUGUUCCUGGUUGUGGGGCUUCGAUUGGCUGCUGAUGCUAUUCAGGCAGCCCCAAGUCAAGUCAUCCAACGUGAUAUCCUAGCUGCCGAUUGCCACCUCAUUCUGCUCUCUAAUAACUCCCAGUACCUUGCCCAAUUCUGUGAGGGAGUCAGCACUGGGGCUGGCUGGGCUCGUUCCAGGGAUCUCAUCACCUCUCAGGGAUUUUCCGGCACUGACACUUCAGUCCCCCUGCAUUUGGUGGACAGGACAGAGAGCGGCUUUGAGGCUUCUGAGGAUGUGGCCACAUCACCUAGCAGCAACCUGCAGAACCAGCAGCUGCCAGGGUUAUUCCAGCUGCUGGCUGGAUGCCCUGGAUGCUAGCUAAUCACACCAGCCUAUCUGAAAUCUCAUCAUUGGUCUGAUGGUUGGCAAACCACAGCUGGGGACUUGCAGCCAUUGAAACUUGAAGCAAAUCAUUUGGAGCUGCUUGUUUUGUGUUACGAGCCUAGGCCAGCCCGUCAGUUCGCAGGGCGGCCGUGGAGUUCCCAUGUACUGCCCCGAGGCCGUCACGGUUCUGUUGAUGCGGACAAGAAGCCUAGCCGGACGACUUGAGGAAGUGGAGCCCAACAGGAGAGAGGCCCAGUAUUUUACCCGCCGUGGCCGUUCCUCCCGUCUGGGAGGAAUUGUACGUCAGCAAGAAGCGAAAGCCGGCCGUCGAGGAGACCUUUCAAAAUCAGCCACGGCGCCAACACCCAGCACCGGGCGACCAGUUUGGAGCUAUAAAUGGGAACCGGUCCUGAAGUUGUGGCCUGAUCGCCUGAAUACGUCGAAACCGAGCGUCGCUCCGCCUACCGCACCGUCCUGGAAGUGUCCAACGACGUCCAACCAGUCCAAGAUCAGGAAAGUGACGGGCGGACUGACCGGCCUGACCAGCCGCUGGCUGACGAUGAAGAGCAGCAAAAAGGAGGACACGGUUAACGUCAUGGGCCGGCACAGUUACGCCUGAAUCCUCUCCUACUGCUGGGCCGACGUCUGGAUGCUGGACAUGACGCAGGAGGGGUCUUGUCGGAUUUGCAAGAAAUUGACGCUCAACCCGCGUUUUUACGCCCUGUAUUCCCUUACCGGCCCAGGAGCCGGAAGUUGGGAGUCGGGAAGCCGCUGCUGAUAGAGCGAGGCGCCGGUGACGAGUUGGUGGUGACCGAGACGAUCUCGACUAACUAUCGACUCCGCAGCUGCCGCAUCAAACGAGACGUCCAGCAGGUGAACCAGUUCGGCGGCGGACGAGCCGCUGGCUUCGUCGCAGUCGACGGCCCAGCAGUAACAGCAGGAUUGGCAGAACCUCCUGAUGCGACUGGAAGAAAGGGCCUGAGGACGGUGGAGGACGGCCUCCUCAUUUUCGGAAAUGGACAUUCGUACGUGGUGGACGGAUUCACUCAGACUCAAUUUCCCGUCUGGGACUUUCGGGCCGAUCGUUCCAACGUACACGACGCCUGCCUACGGCAGCAGCAACAG